rnacentral:rRNA from 1 species
GACGAACGCUGGCGGCAUGCUUAACACAUGCAAGUCGAACGGAAAGGCCCCUUUGGGGGUACUCGAGUGGCGAACGGGUGAGUAACACGUGAGUAACCUGCCCUUGACUUCGGGAUAACUUCAGGAAACUGGGGCUAAUACCGGAUAGGAAUCCUUGCUGCAUGGUGGGGGUUGGAAAGCUUCGGCGGUUUUGGAUGGACUCGCGGCUUAUCAGCUUGUUGGUGGGGUAGUGGCUUACCAAGGCUUUGACGGGUAGCCGGCCUGAGAGGGCGACCGGCCACAUUGGGAUUGAGAUACGGCCCAGACUCCUACGGGAGGCAGCAGUGGGGAAUAUUGCACAAUGGGCGGAAGCCUGAUGCAGCAACGCCGCGUGCGGGAUGACGGCCUUCGGGUUGUAAACCGCUUUCAGCAGGGGCGAAGCUUGUGGUGACGGUACCUGCAGAAGAAGCACCGGCUAACUACGUG